AGGCCCUUGAGUUGUAUGCCUAGUCUUUUUAAUUUUUCUUGGAAAAAGAAAAUAGGGAAAUGAAAAAUGGAGGGAAAUUCAAUUAUUUUUGGGAAGAGGAAACUCAAAGAAAGAGAGGGAACUCUCAUCGAUCCGAAGCUGAAACUCCUAUCGAUUCAAAGUAGAGGAAUUUGGGGAUUCGAAUGAUCCAUUCUCCAGUAUUUGAAUCGAUUCGAGAUUUGCAUUUGUUGUUUGUUACCGGUGGACAAGUUGCAUUCCUGACUAAUCCCUUAUCUCCCAACGACCGUCGGCCAUCAGGAUAGGUGUAGAAGCUGCAUAGUGGAGAUAACUAAAGGCAUCAGCAGAUUCAACAGCUAUUCUUAACCGAUUUUGCCAAGAAAG